GCCCCUGAUUUGUGCCCUCUCCCUAUAUAAUGUCAUGAUGUGGCUUGCUGGAGUCAGAAUCCUACCUCAUUCUGAGCUCUGACACUUUCCUAUCUGUGCUCCCUGCUAAUCAAUCCACCAGAAUGAAGGGCUUGGCGCUGCUGGUACUGGUGGCAGUUUCCACCUUCCUGGUCUCAGGCCAGACUACAACAGAUGUCCCAUCUGAUAGCUCUACUACUGUCCCAAAUCCACCACCGCGGGGCCCACUUCCAAAUCUGCUACUGCCUCCACUGAUGCCACCACCACCACAGUUCCCACCACCAUGACCAGUUCUGCUCAAGCCACCAGUGUUUGAAAGAGUGUCAUCAACAAGAUUAAGAAUAAACUAGAUUUGAAAAAUCUAGAUUUGAAUAUCACUAAGAUGAAGGAAGCCUGGGCCUUUUGCAAUUGAUCCUGCUGGACUUGACCACAAUGUCCCUUCAAUUGGUUUAACCCUGCUACUUAACAUGUCUAUCAUCUCUGUCUUAUCCUUAAUCAGUUUAUCUGUUUUCAAAUAAAAAAAUAACAUUGAUAGCAACAAAA